GCAUGAUGUUGGUGUCCUCUUCUGUGUUCACUAUUCUGUCAACUUGAAUUUCAGAAGAUGAUAACCACGAAAGUGAAUGAACUCUUUAGCUUAAAGACAACUAACUCAUGCCCAUAUAGACUUCUAAGGAGUAAAACAAAUGAAUAUCAGAGAGAACAUAAAACCCAUAUCGAUGAACUUCAAGUAAAAAGUAUUCUAUUUUUGGGGGGUGAUGGGAGAGUAUAAAACCACAAAAAUAUGCAAUUAAGGUAAUAAGUGAACAUAAACGUUUCCAGGCAUUUGUCACCCCUAAUAAUGAAUGGAACAAUGUAGGUGCUGAAUUCCUGUAUGUGAGUUGCUUUAAAAGAAGCUCAGGUUCAAAUUUGGUUGUCCUGAAAUAGGUUUUUCUUGUUUUAUUAUAUUCCAGUGUGACAUUUCAGAGUUGGGAAGAUCAAGAGCAAAUCUUUACUGGAUUGGUUCAAGUGCGAUAUGAUUCUACAGCUCAUUGAACUUACUGCUAUUUUUUCUAGUGCCACUGGAGUAAGUGAUAUUACUCAUCUGAGUAAAGGCUGUGUGAUGAAGCUUAACAAGAAGAAAGGUCUGGAAAGCUGUACCUUGCAUAGACCACUGAUGGUCUAUGAAUCUUCAGGAAGAGAGGAAGGGAUUAGCUCAUUGAUUGUAUACUGUUCCAGCAAAGCAGUUUACCCUCUGAGGCCCUCGCUGUCAGCUCCACGCUCAUACAUCCAUGCCCUGCUGUCGAGCCUGACAGCCGUCUAUUGUUCAUUCACUGCUUCCACCUCGCCACUUAAUAUUAUUGCGAUAAGGAAACUCUCGUGUCACGACCCACUGGCGUCUGGCUAA
rnacentral:lncRNA from 1 species